rnacentral:rRNA from 1 species
AUACGGAGGGUGCAAGCGUUAAUCGGAAUUACUGGGCGUAAAGCGUACGUAGGCGGUUCGUUAAGUUAGAUGUGAAAGCCCCGGGCUUAACCUGGGAACUGCAUUUAAAACUGGCGAACUAGAGUUGAGUAGAGGGGAGUGGAAUUUCAGGUGUAGCGGUGAAAUGCGUAGAGAUCUGAAGGAACACCAGUGGCGAAGGCGGCUCCCUGGACUCAAACUGACGCUGAGGUACGAAAGCGUGGGUAGCAAACGGGAUUAGAUACCCUAGUAGUCC